UCCACUCGGGCAGCGAUGGCUGCUGUGAAAACCCUGAACCCAAGGCCGAGGUGGCCAGCGCGCAGGCGGCGCUGGCGGUCAACAUCAGCGCGGCGAGGGGGCUGCAGGACGUGUUGAGGACCAACUUGGGGCCUAAAGGCACCAUGAAGAUGCUCGUUUCUGGCGCCGGAGACAUCAAGCUUACUAAAGAUGGCAAUGUGCUGCUUCACGAAAUGCAAAUUCAACACCCUACGGCCUCUUUAAUAGCAAAAGUAGCAACAGCCCAGGAUGAUAUAACUGGUGAUGGUACUACUUCCAACGUCCUGAUUAUUGGAGAGCUGCUGAAACAGGCAGAUCUCUACAUUUCUGAGGGUCUUCAUCCCCGAAUAAUUACUGAAGGUUUUGAAACUGCAAAGGAAAAGGCCCUACAGUUUUUGGAACAAGUUAAAGUAAGCAGAGAGAUGGACAGGGAGAUACUUACAGAUGUGGCCAGAACAUCUCUGCGCACUAAAGUUCACGCAGAACUUGCAGAUGUCCUAACAGAGGCUGUGGUAGAUUCCAUUUUGGCCAUUAGGAGAAAAGAUGAACCUAUUGACCUGCUCAUGGUUGAGAUCAUGGAGAUGAAGCAUAAGUCGGAAACUGAUACAAGCUUAAUCAGGGGGCUUGUUUUGGACCAUAGGGCACGGCACCCUGAUAUGAAAAAAAGAGUGGAAAAUACAUACAUCCUCACAUGCAAUGUCUCCUUGGAAUAUGAGAAAACAGAAGUGAACUCUGGCUUUUUCUACAAGAGUGCAGAAGAAAGAGAAAAGCUAGUAAAAGCCGAAAGGAAAUUCAUUGAAGAUAGAGUUAAAAAAAAUAGUGGAAUUGAAAAAGAAGGUCGGACAGUAUUUAUGUUAUUUCCUAAGUGGAUAGGCAUUGGUCAGCAUAAUUCCCUGACUUGUUCUGGGAUAAUGUUUGUCAGGUUUCUUUGUACCCAAUGA